AUUGAACGCUGGCGGCAGGCUUAACACAUGCAAGUCGAGCGGGGUGAUGGUGCUUGCACUAUCACUUAGCGGCGGACGGGUGAGUAAUGCUUAGGAAUCUGCCUAUUAGUGGGGGACAACAUCUCGAAAGGGAUGCUAAUACCGCAUACGUCCUACGGGAGAAAGCAGGGGAUCACUUGUGACCUUGCGCUAAUAGAUGAGCCUAAGUCGGAUUAGCUAGUUGGUGGGGUAAAGGCCUACCAAGGCGACGAUCUGUAGCGGGUCUGAGAGGAUGAUCCGCCACACUGAGACUGAGGCACGGCCCAGACUCCUACGGGAGGCAGCAGUGGGGAAUAUUGGACAAUGGGGGGAACCCUGCUACAGCCAUGCCGCGUGUGUGAAGAAGGCCUUAUGGUUGUAAAGCACUUUAAGCGAGGAGGAGGCUCUUUUGGUUAAUACCCAAGAUGAGUGGACGUUACUCGCAGAAUAAGCACCGGCUAACUCUGUGCCAGCCGCCGCUGUAA
rnacentral:rRNA from 1 species